CGAAAGCCUGACGGAGCAAUGCCGCGUGGAGGAUGACCGCCUAUGGGUCGUAAACUCCUUUUUUCAGAGAAGAAAUAAUGACGGUAUCUGAAGAAUAAGCAUCGGCUAACUCCGUGCCAGCAGCCGCGGUAAGACGGGGGAUGCAAGUGUUAUCCGGAAUAAUUGGGCGUAAAGGGUCUGUAGGUGGUUUACCAAGUCUGUUGUUAAAAAUUAGGGCUCAACCCUAAUAUGGCAACAGAAACUAGUAGGCUUGAGUACGGUAGGGGCAAAGGGAAUUCUCGGUGUAGUGGUGAAAUACGUAGAUAUCGAGAAGAACACCAACAGCGAAAGCACUUUGCUAGGCCGAAACUGACAUUGAGAGACGAAAGCU
rnacentral:rRNA from 1 species